UACGAAGGUGGCAAGCGUUGUUCGGAUUUACUGGGCGUACAGGGAGCGUAGGCGGUUGGAUAAGCCCUCCGUGAAAUCUCCAGGCUUAACCUGGAAAGUGCAGAGGGGACUGUUCAGCUAGAGGAUGGGAGAGGGCAGUGGAAUUCCCGGUGUAGCGGUGAAAUGCGUAGAUAUCGGGAGGAACAUCAGUGGCGAAGGCGGCUGCCUGGCCCAAUACUGACACUCAGGUGCGACAGCGUGGGGAGCAAACAGG
rnacentral:rRNA from 1 species